GACGAACGCUGGCGGCGUGCUUAACACAUGCAAGUCGAACGGAAAGGCCCUGCUUUUGUGGGGUGCUCGAGUGGCGAACGGGUGAGUAGCACGUGAGUAACCUGCCCUUGACUUUGGGAUAACUUCAGGAAACUGGGGCUAAUACCGGAUAGGAGCUCCUGCUGCAUGGUGGGGGUUGGAAAGUUUCGGCGGUUGGGGAUGGACUCGCGGCUUAUCAGCUUGUUGGUGGGGUAGUGGCUUACCAAGGCUUUGACGGGUAGCCGGCCUGAGAGGGUGGCCGGCCACAUUGGGACUGAGAUACGGCCCAGACUCCUACGGGAGGCAGCAGUGGGGAAUAUUGCACAAUGGGCGGAAGCCUGAUGCAGCAACGCCGCGUGCGGGAUGACGGCCUUCGGGUUGUAAACCGCUUUCGCCUGUGACGAAGCGUGAGUGACGGUAAUGGGUAAAGAAGCACCGGCUAACUACGUG
rnacentral:rRNA from 1 species